ACGUGUUUGAUUUCAUCCUAUCGACACAUGGCUCUUGAAGCCACAUAUAAAAGGCACUGAAAUGAAGGUUGAUGUUUUUAACCUGCCGUUCCUUGCAGCUAUUUAUUACAGAAUCGUGAUACUGCAGGUGUCCAGGGGUCAAAGGUGAAUGAAGUCACCACAUCACCGUCAGGUGGAUAAGAUCCUUCAAAAGUCGUCAAAUAUUGCGGACCGUACAAGAAGUGCAAAUCCCUCAAGCUACGAGAAAGUCACGAUCACGUUUCCUAGAUGAUAUUAAGCUUUAUUUCUUGUGAACGUGGCCAAUAAACGAUGCUUGCAGUA